UUUUGUUUAAUUUGAUUUGAUUGAGAUUGAUUCUGUCUUUUUGUUGAUUGGCUAUUAUUGAGUAAUAUUAAAUAUAAGUUUUUGCGUGAUUAUUAAUUUUGUCUUAAAGGUAUUAUUAAUUUAUUUAUUUUUAGUUUUUAAUUUUGAAUAUUAUGUAAUUAUAUAUUUAGUUAAUUUUUGUUAAGAGUUGUUGAA
rnacentral:rRNA from 1 species